rnacentral:rRNA from 1 species
GAUGAACGCUGGCGGCGUGCCUAAUACAUGCAAGUCGAGCGAACAGACGAGGAGCUUGCUCCUCUGACGUUAGCGGCGGACGGGUGAGUAACACGUGGAUAACCUACCUAUAAGACUGGGAUAACUUCGGGAAACCGGAGCUAAUACCGGAUAAUAUAUUGAACCGCAUGGUUCAAUAGUGAAAGACGGUUUUGCUGUCACUUAUAGAUGGAUCCGCGCCGCAUUAGCUAGUUGGUAAGGUAACGGCUUACCAAGGCGACGAUGCGUAGCCGACCUGAGAGGGGGAGCGCGCCCACUGGAGAUGGGACACGGGCCAGAGACCCCCGGGGGGGGCAGCGGGGGAGACUCUCCCAAAGGGGGCAAACCCGACAGGGCAAAGCGCCGCGGGGGAGAAAAGUGUUCGGGUCUCAAAACCCUUUUUUAUUGGAAAAAAAAAAGUGUAAAAAAAACUGCACGCCUGUAGGGGACCCAUACAGAAAGCCCCGCGUAAAACCGU